GACGAACGCUGGCGGCGUGCUUAACACAUGCAAGUCGAACGAACAGACGCGAAGCUUGCUUCUCUGUUGUUAGCGGCGGAUGGGUGAGUAACAAGCGGAUAACCCCCUUAUCAGACUUGGAUAAUUUCGGGAAACCGUAGCUAAUAAUGGAUAAUAUUUUGAACCGGUUGGUUCAAAAGUGAAAGACGGUGUUGGUGUCACUUAUAGAUGGAUCCGCGCUGUUUUAGCUGGUUGGUAAGGUAACGGCUUACUAAGGCAACGAUGCAUAGCCGACCGGGGAGGGGGGUCGGCCGCCCUAGAGGGUGACCGCGGUCCAGGGGCCUACGAGAGGCAGCAGUAGGGAAUCUUCGGCAGUAGGGGGGAACCUGGCGGAGCGGCGCCGCGUGGGUGGUGACGGUCUUCGGCGCGUAAUGCUCUGUUUUUGGGGGAGAACCUAUGUGUAAGUGACUGUGCACAUCUUGACGGUACCUGGUCAAAAAGCCACGGCUAACUACGUG
rnacentral:rRNA from 1 species